rnacentral:rRNA from 1 species
AUUGAACGCUGGCGGCAUGCCUAACACAUGCAAGUCGAACGGGGGCAGCAAUGCCCUAGUGGCGGACGGGUGAGGAAUACGUAGGAACCGGCCCACGAGUGGGGGACAACCUGGGGAAACCCAGGCUAAUACCGCAUACGCUCGCGAGAGGAAAGCGGGGGGACCUUCGGGCCUCGCGCUGGUGGACGGGCCUACGUCCGAUUAGCUUGUUGGUGGGGUAAAAGCCUACCAAGGCGACGAUCGGUAGCUGGUCUGAGAGGAUGAUCAGCCACACUGGGACUGAGACACGGCCCAGACUCCUACGGGAGGCAGCAGUGGGGAAUAUUGGACAAUGGGCGCAAGCCUGAUCCAGCAAUGCCGCGUGGGUGAAGAAGGCCUGCGGGUUGUAAAGCCCUUUAAGCGGGGAGGAAAGCCGGGGGGUGAAUAGCGCCUCGGGGUGACGUUACCCGCAGAAUAAGCACCGGCUAACUCCGUGCCAGCAGCCGCGGUAAU